GAUGAACGCUGGCGGCGUGCCUAAUACAUGCAAGUCGAGCGAACGGACGAGAAGCUUGCUUCUCUGAUGUUAGCGGCGGACGGGUGAGUAACACGUGGAUAACCGACCUAUAAGACUGGGAUAACUUCGGGAAACCGGAGCUAAUACCGGAUGAUAUUUUGAACCGCAUGGUUCAAAAGUGAAAGACGGUCUUGCUGUCACUUAUAGAUGGAUCCGCGCUGCAUUAGCUAGUUGGUAAGGUAACGGCUUACCAAGGCAACGAUGCAUAGCCGACCUGAGAGGGUGAUCGGCCACACUGGAACUGAGACACGGUCCAGACUCCUACGGGAGGCAGCAGUAGGGAAUCUUCCGCAAUGGGCGAAAGCCUGACGGAGCAACGCCGCGUGAGUGAUGAAGGUCUUCGGAUCGUAAAACUCUGUUAUUAGGGAAGAACAUAUGUGUAAGUAACUGUGCACAUCUUGACGGUACCUAAUCAGAAAGCCACGGCUAACUACGUG
rnacentral:rRNA from 1 species